rnacentral:rRNA from 1 species
UACGUAGGUGGCAAGCGUUGUCCGGAAUUAUUGGGCGUAAAGCGCGCGCAGGCGGUCCUUUAAGUCUGAUGUGAAAGCCCACGGCUCAACCGUGGAGGGUCAUUGGAAACUGGGGGACUUGAGUGCAGGAGAGAAGAGUGGAAUUCCACGUGUAGCGGUGAAAUGCGUAGAGAUGUGGAGGAACACCAGUGGCGAAGGCGACUCUUUGGCCUGAAACUGACGCUGAGGCGCGAAAGCGUGGGGAGCAAACAGG